GAGACAUCUGCAGGGAGAAAGUUAAAAAAGUCAAGAAGGCCAUGGCUAUAUGAUUGAAGUUGCAUCUCUUUUUAUCAUAUACAUGCAAUGGCCAUAAUAAAGAGGUGGACCCUUAUAUCUUGACUUUUAAUAACUCCCAGUCCCAUAGAUGGUACAAAAUUGUACUACUGAUUUUAGCAGUAUGGUUUUCAAGUAAAAGAAAGGACAUAAGAAUGGAAGGGCCUUGGUGAGAUGAAAUUCUUCCAAUAUUUUCCCUUUAAAGCUCUCCCUCUGCAAGUUCCUUAAAGAUAUUGGACAGGUUUGGUCUCCUUCCUUCCAUUGAGGCACCUGCAUCCUUAAAAGAUUUCCCAUAGCCUCCCUUCUGGUCAGAAGAAUGAAUUGAAGCUCCUAUACUGAAAAGUAUUUCUCUGCUGUAUUAUUAUAGCCUUCCUGACAGAGUUCUCCUGUGUCUUCUUUGGAGGUUUGCUUGACUUUUUUCCUCGCAAGUCAGGACAGAACGGAGAUGGGCUGACAAGUGAAAAAACUGCCUCUCACUUCCCUAAACAAUAUUCUACAGGGCAGAGAAGAACCAGAAAAGCAAGCCCAGGCAGGUGGGAAUUUUCAAUCUGAAACGUGAUAAACUCGUCAGAGGUUGAUUAUGCAAAUCAAAGAGAGCAGAAACAGAAUGUUUUGGAGGAGUCAACCAAAGUCAUAACCCUCAUGUGCUGUCA